UACGAAGGGGGCUAGCGUUGUUCGGAAUUACUGGGCGUAAAGCGCGCGCAGGCGGUCUUCCAAGUCAGUGGUGAAAGCCCGGAGCUCAACUCCGGAACUGCCAUUGAAACUGUUAGACUUGAGGAUGAGAGAGGUGAGUGGAAUUCCCAGUGUAGAGGUGAAAUGCGUAGAUAUCAGGAGGAACACCUGUGGCGAAAGCGGCUCACUGGACCAUAACUGACGCUGAUGCACGAAAGCUAGGGGAGCAAACAGG
rnacentral:rRNA from 1 species